rnacentral:rRNA from 1 species
GACGAACGCUGGCGGCGUGCUUAACACAUGCAAGUCGAACGGAAAGGCCCUGCUUUUGUGGGGUGCUCGAGUGGCGAACGGGUGAGUAACACGUGAGUAACCUGCCCUUGACUUUGGGAUAACUUCAGGAAACUGGGGCUAAUACCGGAUAGGAGCUCCUGCUGCAUGGUGGGGGUUGGAAAGUUUCGUCGGUUGGGGAUGGACUCGCGGCUUAUCAGCUUGUUGGUGGGGUAGUGGCUUACCAAGGCGUUGACGGGUAGCCGGCCUGAGAGGGUGACCGGCCACACUGGGACUGAGAUACGGCCCAGACUCCUACGGGAGGCAGCAGUGGGGAAUAUUGCACAAUGGGCGGAAGCCUGAUGCAGCAACGCCGCGUGCGGGAUGACGGCCUUCGGGUUGUAAACCGCUUUCGCCUGUGACGAAGCGUGAGUGACGGUAAUGGGUAAAGAAGCACCGGCUAACUACGUG